AAUCUUGCGCAAUGGGCGAAAGCCUGACGCAGCGAUGCCGCGUGAGCGAUGAAGGCCUUCGGGUUGUAAAGCUCUGUGGAUGGAGACGAAGAAGUAUAGGUUAAUACCCUAUGCGGUGACGGUAUCCAUUUAGCAAGCACCGGCUAACUCUGUGCCAGCAGCCGCGGUAAGACAGAGGGUGCAAACGUUGUUCGGAAUUACUGGGCGUAAAGCGCGUGUAGGCGGCACUGCAGGUCGGAUGUGAAAUCCCGUGGCUCAACCAUGGAAGUGCACCCGAAACCGCAGAGCUAGAGUAUCGGAGAGGAAGGUGGAAUGCUUGGUGUAGAGGUGAAAUUCGUAGAUAUCAAGCGGAACACCGGUGGCGAAGGCGGCCUUCUGGACGAUUACUGACGCUGAGACGCGAAAGCGUGGGUAGCAAACAGGAUUAGAUACCCUGGUAGUCCACGCCGUA
rnacentral:rRNA from 1 species